rnacentral:rRNA from 1 species
CACGUAGGCACCAAGCGUUGUCCGGAUUUAUUGGGCGUAAAGAGCUCGUAGGCGGUUCGGUAAGUCGGGUGUGAAAACUUUGGGCUCAACCCAAAGCCUGCACCCGAUACCGCUGUGACUUGAGUCCGGUAGGGGAGUGGGGAAUUCCUGGUGUAGCGGUGGAAUGCGCAGAUAUCAGGAGGAACACCGGUGGCGAAGGCGCCACUCUGGGCCGGUACUGACGCUGAGGAGCGAAAGCGUGGGGAGCGAACAGG